rnacentral:rRNA from 1 species
GCAGUCGAACGAAGGUUAUUAAGCUUGCUUAAUAACUUUAGUGGCGAACGGGUGAGUAAUACAUAGGCAACCUACCCAUAAGACUGGGAUAACAGUUGGAAACGACUGCUAAUACCGGAUAGGUAAGAAGAAGGCAUCUUUUUCUUAUUAAAGUUUAGAUACACUAAUGGAUGGGCUUAUGGCGCAUUAGCUAGUUGGUGAGGUAACGGCCCACCAAGGCUGUGAUGCGUAGCCGACCUGAGAGGGUGACCGGCCACAUUGGGACUGAGACACGGCCCAAACUCCUACGGGAGGCAGCAGUAAGGAAUUUUCGGCAAUGGGCGCAAGCCUGACCGAGCAACGCCGCGUGAACGAAGACGGCCCUAUGGGUUGUAAAGUUCUGUUGUAAAGGAAGAACACUAUGAAUAGAAUUCAUAGCUGACGGUACUUUACCAGAAAGCCACGGCUAACUACGUGCCAGCAGCCGCGGUAAUACGUAGGUGGCAAGCGUUAUCCGGAAUUAUUGGGCGUAAAGGGUGCGCAGUCGGCAUAUUAAGUUUAUGGUGAAAGUGCGGGGCUUAACUCCGUAUUGCCAUAAAAACUGGUAAGCUAGAGUGCAGAAGAGGGUAGUGGAAUUCCAUGUGUAGCGGUAAAAUGCGUAGAUAUAUGGAGGAACACCAGUGGCGAAGGCGGCUACCUGGUCUGUAACUGACGAUGAGGCACGAAAGCGUGGGGAGCAAAUAGGAUUAGAUACCCUAGUAGUCCACGCUGUAAACGAUGAAUACUAAGUGUUGGGGAAACUCAGUGCUGCAGUUAACGCAAUAAGUAUUCCGCCUGGGGAGUAUGCACGCAAGUGUGAAACUCAAAGGAAUUGACGGGGGCCCGCACAAGCGGUGGAUUAUGUGGUUUAAUUCGAAGCAACGCGAAGAACCUUACCAGGUCUUGACAUACCGAUAAAAGCUCUAGAGAUAGAGUCAUAGUUAUAUUGGAUACAGGUGGUGCAUGGUUGUCGUCAGCUCGUGUCGUGAGAUGUUGGGUUAAGUCCCGCAACGAGCGCAACCCUUGUCUUUAGUUACCAUCAUUAAGUUGGGGACUCUAGAGAAACUGCCGGUGAUAAACCGGAGGAAGGUGGGGAUGACGUCAAAUCAUCAUGCCCCUUAUGACCUGGGCUACACACGUAAUACAAUGGCGUACACAGAGGGAUGCGAAGCAGUGAUGUGGAGCGAAUCUCACAAAGUACGUCUCAGUUCGGAUUGAAGUCUGCAACUCGACUUCAUGAAGUUGGAAUCGCUAGUAAUCGCGGAUCAGCAUGCCGCGGUGAAUACGUUCUCGGGCCUUGUACACACCGCCCGUCAAACCAUGAAAGUCGGUAAUACCCGAAGCCAGUGGCCCAACCGCAAGGAGGGAG